CUGCGAUUCCCACCUUCAGCUUCUUUUCUUCGAUAUAUAGACCAUCCAAUCAAUCAAACAAACCAGCUCUUCUUCUCCUUCGAUACACCCCUCUUCACCUCUUCGAUAUCUAAAGCCCCAAAUAAAAAUCCCAAUCAGCCGUUAAUAUCAUUCAAAAACCAUUAUUCAACAACCAAAUCGCAGACAUCAUCCAGGUAUCUUCCUCUUCACACUUCGAUACACAUCAAGGAAGGCUGUAAUCCUCUGCACCCUCAACCGACGAAACAGCAACGCCGACGAUACAGGUUGUGCGACGAAACUGAGUUUUUGUUGUUUGACGAAACUGAACAUCUUCCUGGUCGACGAAAGUGGAGGUGGUGAUUCGUCAUUGGAUCAGUUUCGUCGGGAGUGGGUAUGAAGAAACCCUAGUUUCUUUAAGCAGCCGCCAAGAACAUCAAGAACAGAGUGUAUUCCAACAAGCACAAUGAUGAUGAAGAAACGGAGUCACUGCAAAUAGCCUAUUCAAACCUUGGUGAUGACAGGGUGCGGCUUGUAAGUGUUUUAUUUUCUUUCAUGUUGUUGAUAAAUAGUUGGAUAGAAAUUAUUCAUAUGGUUUCCGUUA